UGAGGAAUAUUGGUCAAUGGUCGCUAGACUGAACCAGCCAAGUAGCGUGCGGGAUGAAGGCCCUCCGGGUCGUAAACCGCUUUUAGACGGGGAUAAAAGGGCGUACGUGUACGCCGUAUUGCAUGUACCGUCAGAAAAAGGACCGGCUAAUUCCGUGCCAGCAGCCGCGGUAAUACGGAAGGUCCGGCGUUAUCCGGAUUAUUGGUUUAAAGGAGCGUAGGCGGACUUUCAAGUCAGUGGUAAAAUCGUGUGGCUCAACCAUACCUCGCCAUUGAAACUGGAAGUCUGGAGUGCACACAGGGGUGCCGGAAUUCAUGGUGUAGCGGUGAAAUGCUUAGAUAUCAUGAAGAACUCCGAUCGCGAAGGCAAGUGCCCGGGGUGCAACUGACGCUGAGGCUCGAAGGUGCGGGUAUCGAACAGGAUUAGAUACC
rnacentral:rRNA from 1 species